AACGCACCUUGCACCCUUUGGUAUUCCGAAGGGUAUGCCCGUUUGAGUGUCUUGAAACUCUCAAAGCUCUUGACUUUUUUGUCGGGAUGCUUUGGACUUGGAUGUGUUUGCUGGCCUGGUUUCAGCUCGUCCGAAAUGCAUUAGCUUGGCCUUAGUAAUGGCUUGUGCUGACCUGGUGUGAUAAGUCACUCGCUGGGUUUGAAGCUGUGAAGGGUUGCUUCUAAUCGUCCGGAAGGACAGUAAUGUUAAGUGUUUGACCUCAAAUCGGGUAGGACUACCCGCUGAACUUAA
rnacentral:misc_RNA from 1 species